UACGUAGGGUGCAAGCGUUAAUCGGAAUUACUGGGCGUAAAGCGUGCGCAGGCGGUUUUGUAAGUCUGUCGUGAAAUCCCCGGGCUCAACCUGGGAAUUGCGAUGGAGACUGCAAGGCUAGAAUCUGGCAGAGGGGGGUAGAAUUCCACGUGUAGCAGUGAAAUGCGUAGAGAUGUGGAGGAACACCGAUGGCGAAGGCAGCCCCCUGGGUCAAGAUUGACGCUCAUGCACGAAGCGUGGGGAGCAAACAGG
rnacentral:rRNA from 1 species